GGAUGCGAUCAUAGCAGCACUAAAGCACCGGAUCCCAUCAGAACUCCGAAGUUAAGCGUGCUUGGGCGAGAGUAGUACUAGGGUAUGGGUGACCUCCUGGGAAGUCCUCGUGCUGUAUUCC
rnacentral:rRNA from 2 species